CUUACGAAGGCUUCAUUACACUGGAAUGAUUAUUUUUGUGUGUGUGUGUUUUUAGGGCUUUACCCACAGCAUAUGAAGGUUCCCAGGCUAGGAGUCGAAUUGGAGCUGUAGCUGCUGGCCUACACCCCAGCCCCAUCCACGUGGGAUCCAAGCCACGUCUGCGACCUACACCGCAGCUCAUGGAAACACCAGAUCCUCAGCCCACUGAGUGAGGCCAGGGAUUGAACCUCCGUCCUCACAUCCAAUGCCUGUUGAACAGUACAAGAUUCAUCCUGGGUGACGUACUGGAAGCAAACUCAUGAAACCUGCUAAAGUGUAUUAAUCAACUCAAAGCCGCUGUUGAGAUUGUCCCGCUUGGGAUUCUACUAGUUUGACCUGCAAUAACGAGACUUGUCCAAGAGCCGGGCACUUGAAAAUUGAUGAUAACUAUCCCGUUGUGUCACAAUCAGUGACCAAAAAUCAGUCAUCAUCCAGAGAAGUUGGACAGAUGACCUUAAUAUAUAAAGAGAAAGUUCAUAUUGGAGCAAAAAAUAAGAAGUAUAUGCUCCAGGACCUGUGUGAAUCACAGCUGCCAGAAAACCAAGAAAGCAGAAAAGAUUCUCCUGAAAAAUAUCCUCAUUUGAAGGUAGCAUGUUUUAUACAUUCAUCUUGAAUUAUUUACUCCACACUGUAUCAUCUGUACAUUAUGGAUUA
rnacentral:lncRNA from 1 species